GGAUAGGUGGCAGAGCGGUCAUGCGUGGGACUGCAGAUCCCAUCUAAUAGGGUUCAACUCCCUACCUAUCCUC
rnacentral:tRNA from 1 species